UGAGGAAUAUUGGUCAAUGGGCGAGAGCCUGAACCAGCCAAGUAGCGUGCAGGAUGACGGCCCUAUGGGUUGUAAACUUCUUUUAUUUGGGGAUAAAGUGCGUGACGUGUCAUGCAUUGCAGGUACCACAUGAAUAAGGACCGGCUAAUUCCGUGCCAGCAGCCGCGGUAAUACGGAAGGUCCGGGCGUUAUCCGGAUUUAUUGGGUUUAAAGGGAGCGUAGGCUGUCUAUUAAGCGUGUUGUGAAAUAUACCGGCUCAACCGGUGGCUUGCAGCGCGAACUGGUCGACUUGAGUAUGCAGGAAGUAGGCGGAAUUCAUGGUGUAGCGGUGAAAUGCUUAGAUAUCAUGACGAACUCCGAUUGCGCAGGCAGCUUACUGUAGCAUAACUGACGCUGAUGCUCGAAAGUGCGGGUAUCAAACAGG
rnacentral:rRNA from 1 species